rnacentral:rRNA from 1 species
CACGGUCCGCACGAACGUUAUUCGGUAUCACUGGGCUUAAAGGGUGCGUAGGCGGCUUUGCAAGUUGGGUGUGAAAGCCCUCGGCUCAACCGAGGAAUUGCGCUCAAUACUGCCGAGCUUGAGAGAGACAGAGGUAAGCGGAACUGAUGGUGGAGCGGUGAAAUGCGUUGAUAUCAUCAGGAACACCGGUGGCGAAGGCGGCUUACUGGGUCUUUUCUGACGCUGAGGCACGAAAGCCAGGGGAGCGAACGGG